rnacentral:rRNA from 1 species
ACGCUCGACACUACGGAGGCAGCAGUGGGGAAUAUUGCACAAUGGGGGAAACCCUGAUGCAGCGACGCCGCGUGGAGGAAGAAGGUCUUCGGAUUGUAAACUCCUGUUGUUGGGGAAAAAGAGGAUGGUACCCAACAAGGAAGUGACGGCUAACUACGUGCCAGCAGCCGUGGUAAUCUGAGGCGGGCUGGCAAGGC